AGGUUCGUGAGCUGCGUGGACUUGUGCCUAGGCUCCUGUGAUUCCGAUCCUUGUGCUGGCACCGGGGUCGCCGGGUUGGCGACUUUAGCACUUUUGGCGUUGGAUGGGCGGCAUUUUGGAGGUCACAUGAGCCAGUGGCAUCAUGCCCACGGGCGCUGGGGUCAGGGUCGCGCGGCUUUUCCGGACGUUUGUCGGCCAAGAGGAAGGGCGGAAAGCACAUCGCAGAAAGGUGGAAAGACUAUCUCCCAGUUGGACAGCGGAUGCCUGGGACUCGUUUCAUUGCUUUCAAAGUUCCUUUAAAAAAGAAUUUUGAAAAGAAUCUUGCCCCAGAAGAAUGUUUUUCCCCCUUGGAUCUUUUUUAACAAAAUCCAAGAACAGAAUGAAGAACUUGGGCUGAUUAUUGACUUAACAUAUACUUGCUGCUAUUAUAAGCCAGAGGUAAAGGGAACCCAUAAUUGAAAAUGACCUUCUUUCUGAUACUGUAAUACUUCAUAAUAAUUCAGUACUUAUCAUCUUAUGCUAAGGUGAAAACUGGCCUUCUUUCAUGGGUUCAAAAAGGGAAGCUAGUGGUUUCCUUAAAUACACAUUUCUAAUUGCUGUUUCAAAAUGAGAUUAAAGAUAUGAAUUGAACUAUAGUAUUUGGCAGUAGGCUCUAGAUAUGCUUAAGAAAUUCUAUAAGCUUCCAUGUUCUAUAUUUUGAAAAUGAAGUAAACUUUUAGUAAGAAUAGUAGUAGCCUAAAAGGAAAGAAAGGUAUGUCCAUUAUGUCUUUAGCAGUUAUUUUAAGCAGUUGCCCGAGCAUGUUUAAGCAUCACGGUAAAAGACAGUUGUUCUCUAAGUUUUAUGCUUUCUUUUCCUAAUACCUUCUGAUAUAUUACAGAACCCCGUAUA